AGCGCAGGCGGGAAACUAAGCGGAUCUUAAAAGUGCGGGGCUCAACCCCGUGAUGGGGUCCGAACUGGUUUUCUUGAGUGCAGGAGAGGAAAGCGGAAUUCCCAGUGUAGCGGUGAAAUGCGUAGAUAUUGGGAAGAACACCAGUGGCGAAGGCAGCUUUCUGGACUGUAACUGACGCUGAGGCUCGAAAGCUAGGGUAGCGAAG
rnacentral:rRNA from 1 species